CAAUAGCGUAUAUUAAAGUUGUUGCGGUUAAAAAGCUCGUAGUUGGAUUUCUGCUGAGAACGACCGGUCCGCCCUUUGGGUGUGUAUCUGGCUCUUUCUUGGCAUCUUCUUGGUGAACGUUGCUGCACUUGACUGUGUGGAGCGCUACCCAGGACUUUUACUUUGAGGAAAUUAGAGUGUUUCAAGCAGGCAUACGCCUUGAAUACAUUAGCAUGGAAUAAUAAGAUAGGACCUCGGUUCUAUUUUGUUGGUUUCUAGAGCUGAGGCAAUGAUUAAUAGGGAUAGUUGGGGGCAUUCGUAUUUAACUGUCAGAGGUGAAAUUCUUGGAUUUGUUAAAGACGGACUACUGCGAAANGANNNGCCAAGGAUGUUUUCAUNGA
rnacentral:rRNA from 1 species